rnacentral:rRNA from 1 species
UACGUAGGGUGCGAGCGUUAAUCGGAAUUACUGGGCGUAAAGGGUGCGUAGGCGGUCGGGUAAGUCUGAUGUGAAAUCUCACAGCUUAACUGUGAAACUGCAUUGGAUACUAUCCGGCUCGAGGAAUGGAGGGGAGACUGGAAUACUUGGUGUAGCAGUGAAAUGCGUAGAUAUCAAGUGGAACACCAGUGGCGAAGGCGAGUCUCUGGACAUUUCCUGACGCUGAGGCACGAAAGCCAGGGGAGCAAACGGG